rnacentral:rRNA from 1 species
AUUGAACGCUGGCGGAAUGCUUUACACAUGCAAGUCGAACGGCAGCACGGACUUCGGUCUGGUGGCGAGUGGCGAACGGGUGAGUAAUGUAUCGGAACGUGCCCAGUCGUGGGGGAUAACGUAGUGAAAAUUACGCUAAUACCGCAUACGAUCUAUGGAUGAAAGCGGGGGAUCGCAAGACCUCGCGCGAUUGGAGCGGCCGAGAUCAGAUUAGGUAGGUGGUGGGGUAAAGGCCCACCAAGCCAACGAUCUGUAGAUGGUCUGAGAGGACGAACAGCCACACUGAAACUGAGACACGGUCCAGACUCCUACGGUAGGCAGUAGUGGUGAAUUUUGGACAAUGGUCGAAAGCCUGAUCCAGCCAUUCCGCGUGCAGGAUGAAGGCCCUCGGGUUGUAAACUGCUUUUGUACAGAACGAAAAGGUUUCUACUAAUACUAGGAGCUCAUGACGGUACUGUAAGAAUAAGCACCGGCUAACUACGUGCCAGCCGCCGCCGUAA